rnacentral:tRNA from 1 species
UUGGAUCACCUCCUAACAGGGAGACAAACAACGAUUUUGAUGCUGAGUACUUUUAUUCUUAGGCCGAAAUCCUGUCACCUUAGGUCGAUCGGUACCUCAACUUCAAUGGUCAGAGAGCUUGCUCUGCUGGUUCAUUGAUUUUUAGUUCCUAAACGUUGUCUAGGUCACCCCAUAGAGGGUUCACUUCCUGGGCCAUUAGCUCAGGUGGUUAGAGCGCACCCCUGAUAAGGGUGAGGUCCCUGGUUCAAGUCCAGGAUGGCCCAUUCGGUGUUGGGGGUUUAGCUCAGUUGGUAGAGCGCCUGCUUUGCAAGCAGGAUGUCAGGAGUUCGAGUCUCCUAACCUCCACUGACCGAACUUUGUCCCCAACUUCAGAGUAUGGAGUUGAGCUCGAAUGGAGUGUGAUUUAGAUGUGUCCGCUGGAAGACCCCAGCUUCCUGUCAUUCUAGAAAUUGAUUAAUUCAGUUUUUAGUUGAUAAGAUGCUGGGCUCGCACUGAGCAAUCAGUGAUGAGUUCUGGCAGAACCUUGACAACUGCAUAGGUGAGUCUGGAAAGAAUAAAGCAUCUCAUGGAUGCAUCAUUCUUUUAUGGAUGAUGUUUGAUUCUUGAGCAAGAGCCGAGACUCCACCGCGUUCUUCUAAUUGUGUCGAGCAAUUGGGAGUUUGAUCUUUGAUUCAGCAAUGAAUCAGGGAGAAUCCGUUUCUACGACGGCAAGCGUGAUGGAGAUUAAUUGGUCAAGCUACAAAGGGCUCACGGUGGAUACCUUGGCACACAGAGGCGAUGAAGGA